GAUCAACAUAUUACAAUUUUUCUGUACAAAUAAAGAAUGGACAACUCCCGAACUAAUGAAUCUUAUUAUUUUUAUUAAAAAUUAAUAAUUUUUGUAUAUAAAAUUAUAAUCAUGCAUAUGUGAUUUAAUUGCAAAUUAUCUCAACAAGUAAGAUUUACAAUAAGCAAUUCCAGCUUUGAAUUUAUGCGCGAAGGGGUGACGGGAGGCAAGGUAUCAUAUUGCUGAUUAUGCUGAAAAAUUUGAAUAAAAACUGCGGAAACAACCAAAAGAUUUAAAUAUGUAUAUACCAGUAUAAGCUAUCAUUCAUUAUUUUUUUAGCAUAUAAUCAGCAAUAUGAUACCUUACUUCCCAUCCCCCCUGCAACGCAUAAACUAACAGGAAUUUGGAAUUUGCUAUUGCGCAUAUCUAUAAAUGUUCUCUUUUAAUGAAGUUUUCAUAACUAUAAGUUAUGAUAUUUACAAGAAUAAACACACCCGCAAAUAUAGAGCAUGCAUAAGAUAAUCUAGGCGGGUAUUGUUAAAUUAUAUUAGUAUUUUAAGAUAUUUUAGUAACAAAUAAAUGAAGGCUGAUAGCAAAUAUUAAUAAUUGUCCUGGAUUACUUAACUAGUCAAUUGUAUAAAUGUGCACAAUUCACUUAUAUAUUUGAAUUUAAUUAGAGAUAGCAUUAACAUAAAAACCCGCCUCGACCAGACCUUGCAAGAGAAUUCGAUGAAUACUUUUCUUAAAUAAUCUUAUAGAUUAUUUAAGUAAAUUGUCAGCAAUAUUAUCCCAUAUUUUUGUACCAACACGGGAAAAGGAAUCCCUCUGAUAGUUUAGUCUUGAAUAUUGAUGAUAAAAGCUUUUUCUCUAGUAUUAUAAGAAUCAAUUGAGCUCAUCCUUUUAAAAUAAGUUAGUUCUAUCAAGAAUUUUUAUGUAUAUGAUUUCUGGUGAUUUCAUGCAUUAAAAUUGAAACUCAUUUAUAACAGAGCAGUUCUAUUGGAAGAACAUCGGAGUAUCACAUACAGGGCAUUUUUUAACUAUAUAACUGGGGGGGGGGAAGCCCCCCCCC